rnacentral:rRNA from 1 species
AUUGAACGCUGGCGGCAGGCCUAACACAUGCAAGUCGAACGGUAACAGGGAUCAGCUUGCUGAUUCGCUGACGAGUGGCGGACGGGUGAGUAAUGUCUGGGAAACUGCCUGAUGGAGGGGGAUAACUACUGGAAACGGUAGCUAAUACCGCAUAACGUCGCACGACCAAAGAGGGGGACCUUCGGGCCUCUUGCCAUCGGAUGUGCCCAGAUGGGAUUAGCUAGUAGGUGGGGUAACGGCUCACCUAGGCGACGAUCCCUAGCUGGUCUGAGAGGAUGACCAGCCACACUGGAACUGAGACACGGUCCAGACUCCUACGGGAGGCAGCAGUGGGGAAUAUUGCACAAUGGGCGCAAGCCUGAUGCAGCCAUGCCGCGUGUAUGAAGAAGGCCUUCGGGUUGUAAAGUACUUUCAGCGGGGAGGAAGGGAGUAAAGUUAAUACCUGUGCUCAUUGACGUUACCCGCAGAAGAAGCACCGGCUAACUCCGUG